rnacentral:lncRNA from 1 species
UCUCGUGUGUACCUGUACACCAAAACCACACGGGGUGAGAACUAUAUAAAUAUAGUUUCCAGUGGGUUCGGCCGCCGACUCCGCCGAUCUUCUCACUAGGUCCAAGCUGGCACAGAUAGAUAGAUAGAAAGACAGAUAGAAAUAAUUGCUACUAUAUCUACUAUGCCAUCAAAUGCAAAGGAUGCAUGGAAUGUCAUCUAGCAAUAACCUACUAUCAUGCUAGUAUAUUUCAACAGUGUAAUGAAUACAACUACAACAUAGUUAUGCAGUCUACUAUGUCAAAUCAUGGCAUGAAUGCAAUCCACUUAUGCAAUUCCUGUUACCACCCAAUCAAUUAGGCUAACUUGCCUAAGGUCUCAAAUCUUAAGGUCCUAGGCAAAGAACUACCCCGCUCCUUGCCCGACUCGUAUCUCAUAGGUCCGACCCAAUCUCGAAAGUCCUAGGCAAAGAGCUACCCCGCUCCUCGCCCGACUCAAUCUCAAAGGUCCUAGGCAAAGAGCUACCCCGCUCCUUGCCCGACUCAAUCUCGCUCUACUAGGUACAAGCUGUCCCUCUCAAAUCUCAUAGGUGAAGGAAUAGUAUGUCCACUCACUAUAUGUAGGCAAAUCCACUAGUCCAACUACCAAGUGACUAUGCUCAAUGUCGAUGCAACUCAUGGUGGAAGCUGGCUAUCAUACUACUAUGUUGAACAACGAUGUCAUUCAUCUGAUCACCCAAUCUCUCAGCGAACACAAGGCUCGCACACUGUCUCACGUGUAUCAAUCUCCUAGGGAGGUGGCUAGCUCUUCACCUACCCCGAGACCGCCUGCGGACACUACACUGGUCCAAGGGCAACUACACUGACCCCCUCGCGUGCCAAACUCCGGAGUGCACUAC